CAAGAAAUAGUUUAUCAAAAUACUAACUUUGGAAGUUAGAGAUACCCUUGGGUUUUCUUGA
rnacentral:tRNA from 1 species